rnacentral:ncRNA from 1 species
CAGGCCGGAGGGUAAAAGGGAAGCAGGUGAAAAUCCUGCACGAUCUCGUCACUGUAAUGGAGGAGCGGUAUGCCAUCCGCAAGGGAGCGAUUCCCCGCGCGGCGUCACUGAGCAAUCGGGAAGGCUGCCAUACCGCAUGGAUCCCUGAGUCAGGAAACCUGCCGUUUUUGCU